rnacentral:misc_RNA from 1 species
AUAAAACCUAGUGCCUCUCUUUGGGGUUCAGUUCUUGGGGCAUGUAGCAUAUAUAGCAAUAUGGACCUUGGGAAGGUAGCAGCCAGGCAUUUGUGCAAUAUCGAACCUACAAAUGCAGUUGGCUAUGUGGUUCUAGCAAGUAUGUAUUCUGCAGCUGGCCUAUGGGAUAGCGCUUGGAAGGAACGGGAUGUGGUUCAAACUAGAAGGUUACCAAAAGAUCCUGGUUACAGCCUUUUUCAUUGUGGCAAUGAUAUGGUAG